AUGCGGAGGAUGCAAGCGUUAUCCGGAUUUAUUGGGUUUAAAGGGUGCGCAGGCGGCGCGUUAAGUCAGUGGUGAAAUGUCCGGGCUCAACCUGGGCAGUGCCAUUGAUACUGGCGUGCUAGAGUACGGACGGCGCCGGCGGAAUGUGUCAUGUAGCGGUGAAAUGCUUAGAUAUGCCACAGAACACCGAUCGCGAAGGCAGCUGGCGAGGCCGGUACUGACGCUCAGGCACGAAAGCGUGGGGAUCAAACAGGAUUAGAUACCCUGGUAGUCCACGCAGUAAACGAUGAUGACUUGUUGUCGGCGAUAGACAGCCGGUGACAAAGCGAAAGCGAUAAGUCACCCACCUGGGGAGUACGAUCGCAAGGUUGAAACUCAAAGGAAUUGACGGGG
rnacentral:rRNA from 1 species